rnacentral:lncRNA from 1 species
UACAAAUGAGCCCCAUCUGGACUUCUACGAGAACCGGACUCCGACCGAACUUCUGUAGCAGACAGAUUCAGGAGGAACCCCUACGACACACGGACUCCAGUAGCCGGAUCCCUCCAGCGGGCGAACCUCUCCAGCACCAUCCGACAUCCGCUGCCGGUCGACCUUCCACCAAAUUCUGCAUGAAACCGAACUUCAUCCACAGAAAGCCCCUGAC